CAGCAUUUAAAGCCAGGCAUCUGGGUGCAGUAAUUGAAAAAUUGGUUGCAAAUAGAAAAGAGAAGAGGCCCAGGACCAAGCUCUGAAACUCUCUGACAUGACAAGGUCAGAGAAGAAGGAAGAGGUAAAGUCUGAGAAGCGACCCGUGUGACAGGAGGGACACCAGGAGAGUGUGUGUCUCGGGACCCAGAGAAGCACGUGACCAAGAAAAGGAGGGAUCAGCUGUGGAAGAGGGGGACAGCGGUCUGAGCACGGGGCUAACGACGUGGGGUGGCCGGUGUCCUGGGCGAGGAGCAGUGCAGAUACAGUUGGUGGAUCCCGGAGAGCUGACAAGAACAGACUCAGAGGGAGGAACCACUCCUCCGAGCAGGACUGUGGAGAAGGGAAGGACUCUGGGAAUAUGGAAGGGGGAGAGACCACAGUGAGACUUGCAAGUCGGCGUUGAAAAGGUCCAGGACAGGUGUCAUAAUGACGGUUCAAGUCCAUUUUGGGAGACCACCUGACCAGGAUGUUUUACAGGCAUCCAAGUUCCAAGUGGGAAAUUGGACUCCAUGAAUGUUAAGAUCCCUUCUGAGCCUGGUGUGGUGAUGUCAGCCUGUGGUCCCAGCACUUUGAGAGUCCAAGGCAGGAGGAUGGAUUGAGGCCAGGAGUUUGAGACUAGACUAGACAAUGCAGCCAAACCCCCUCCCAAA